GCUGAGAUGACAGGCCACCAUUUGAGUGUCUUCUUUACUUUUUGUUUCCUUCUUUGUAAUGUGAAGAAAAUUAUACACUCCUUGUAGGGUUGAGGUGACGAUUAGAGGCCAUCCUUACCAAAAGUCCAAGCUGGUGCCUGGUUUUGGGUGCAGUAAGCAGCAGCCACUCUGACUGUGUCCUUGCUUCCUGGGUGGUGAGAUUUGCAGUGUGGAGAGGAAGAGAAGGGAAGCAGACAAUCUAGCAAUCUGUGGAAAUUCUUUUUGAACGCUUUGAUAAGCUCAGGCCCAAGGGCUGUCUCAUUUGACUUCCUCUUACUCACCUUCCUGUCUGCUUGGCAGUCACCAGGCUGGAAGCCAUGCUGUGGCCCCUCACUGGUGGGUCAGUAUGUUUUAUUUCCCCUCAGUCCUCUCUAAUGAAAAGCACUCGCAUCCAGUAAAUCUUUCCUUUGCUCUUAUUAAAGCACUUGAUGUUGGUUAUUGAGGUCUGUUCCAAGCUAGGUAAGAAUCAAUAAGGCGAUCCACUUAAUCACUUCAGCAAUCAACAAGCUGUUUUCUUAGCUUGCACUCUGGCCACUGCCUGCAGAAAUCCGGGGGCUUAUCGGGCCCUUGUAACCCAGGGAGCUGCCUGGAGACUUUCCCUUUCAUUCCCUCCUCCCUGUCAACCUCAUGAAGUCCCAAGUGUUCUGAAACAGCCCUGCCCUCUGCUUGGUCUCAGGGCUGUGUUGGGUAAGAUAAUGACAAGCCUGUGCUUCUAUUUGUACUCUUGCCAUUAAGGGCUCCAACUAUGUCUGGGCUGUGGGCAGUUGAUACCUGAUUACAGAUAGUCUCGUUUUGGCCAUUGUGGCUUUGCACACCUGGGCAGGGCAAUUGCUUAAAUGAGGGUGACACUAUUCCUACUGGGCCUAGCCUUUCUCCCACCUCAGUAUUCAAAUUUCACUAUCACCGGGAAACUCCCAGGAAAAGGAUCAGUCGUUUGCUCCUUGUAAUGUUUUGAACAUAGGUUUACUCUAAGGCAUGCUGUACCAUAUUCAAGCUCUGUCCUGUUUCCCAGACAGCCUGUGAUCUCCUUAAAGACUGGAGCUGUGUCUUAGUCAUCUCUGCAUUAUCAAGACCACCCCAAUGCCUGACCUGUAGGAGCUCAGUUGCACUUAUUGAAAAGAAAGAAGGAAGGAAGGACAAUAAAAAGGAAAGAAUGAAUUUUUUUUUAUAGUCCUGGAAAACAGCAUGGUUCCAAGUCCUGGCAUUGCCAAUAAUUGCUGGGUGACCUUAGGCAAGAUAAAGAAUUUGUUUCAGACUCAAUUUCCUUAUCUGUCAGUGAAUUAGAUAAUCCCCCAAAUUCUUUCCAGCUCAAACAUUUUGUAAUCUUAUGCCUGUAAAUCUAUGGUUACCAAUUCUUUCAUACCCAAACCCACUUUGUAUAACAAGUAUUUUGAAAUCUCCUUUUGCCAACAUGAAAUGAAAUGAUUCAAUAUUACAACCUACCUUCAUCUAAUUAGGAAAAUAAAUACUCUAACUGUAAUUUAAAGGGGAAAUAAAAGGAAAACAAUUUAUGAUAAAAUAAUACAUAUUCCUUUAUGUAAAAGUAUGGCUAGUACCAGAAGAUAUGAUGAAGGGGUCAGAACUUCACACUACUCUGCUGAAUCACUUUGAAUGAUGUGACAGUUACAAAUGCAGAGUGAUGCAGGUAGGUUACUUUGGUGCCUCAUAUGCCACAAGAAGUACUGAUGUCGUUACAGUUCUAAACUAGCAGCACACAACAUUUCCAGUAUUGACAUGGUAGUCAUAUUCCUGGAAAAUUCAAGAUAUGUAAAGCAAAGGUAGAUUUUAAGCUCAGAUAAUUUAAAAAACAGGCUUUUCAGCCAUAUAAAUAUCUGUGGAACAUUCAAAAGCUCUCUGAGAAGCAGAAAGAUUCUUCAUAGUUCAGAACUGUCCAUGCCAUUGAAGAUCUCUGGAAUCCUUGGCUCCUGCCCACUAUGAACCAGCAGAACCUCCUUGUACCAACCAAGAACCUGCCCACCUACCAAAUAUUAAAAACGCUAUCCACAGGGUGGUAUCAUUUCUUCCAGGAGCUAGUGCUCUAAGCUUUAAAAUGUUCUGAGCAGAGCAGGCUUCAAGGAUGAACAAUCUGUGUAGUCAUCAGGGCUCACUGCUCUUUGAAGGAUCAUGUGCUUGAAUACUCUCUUGUUACUCUCCUGAAUUUCUUAAUGAUUUUUGAAUAAGGGUCCUUAUGUGUUCACUUUACAGCAGGCCCUGCAAAUCAUGUAGCCAGUCCUGGCUAUGUAUUAUGACAGGAUUGCUGUAUUCCUAAGCAUCUGAGUGAUGUUUAGUGUUGAAACAACUAGUUUCCUUUGCCUAGUAGUGCUUUCUUUUAAUUAGCUAGGAUAUCCUUAAUUACUUUAAUUAAUUAAUUUGUUCAUUUAUUAAACUAAUACACACUGAGUUUCUAUUAUACACCAGGUAGACUCUGGAGUCAGAAGACCUGAACCGCGAUCCUAAAAGAGCUUACAGAUUCUUGGAUUCUCUGACUUUAAGAUGGAAUUAUUAAUAAUAACUCUCUUUAAUUAUUGUACAGAAUAAGUGUGAAUUUUAAAAGAUAGAGCAUUUGGAAGUAAAUUGUACACUAUGACAUAAACGUCAGUUGCUAAUUUUAUUAUUGUGCUACUCUUUUUAUCUUUGAAGUAAAGUUUUCUACUUUUCUUCAUUUAGAUAUCAUGGAACAUGAUGCUCUUGGCAGGACACCAAAUAUCAACUUUCCUACAAAAAUCAGAAAACAGAGUAAUUGGGUUCAGCAAAAUCUUUCAAUUUGGGUGUUACUAGUGUAGACUUCAUGAUAACUCAAAAUAAUUUUAUCGAAUUUAAAAAAAGAUAUGUUAAAUUGAGUUUGUCACAUAAUCAUGGAAGUUUUGGGCUGAUAUAGACUUCAAAAAAUUAUCCAGUGCUUAAAUCUGCUAUAAUAUCCCUACUGAGUAUUUCCAGAACCAGCUUUGGUUAAUUCCUGUGAUGUGUCCUUUGGAAGCAUGUGUGCCCUGUGCUAGGAACAUUUAAAAAAGCAAUUCAGUACGUUUGUAUGUGAAUUACAAAUUAUUCUCAUCCACUCAUUAGAGCAGGGCAGGGCAGCAUGCCUUCUACUAGGCAAUACUUACUUAAUUUAGUUGUAUUUUAUGGUAACAAAAUUUCUCUGAAAAGAUAUACUUUAUAAUUCACACUUUUCACAAAUUCAGCUCACCCCAAACACCUACUUUUUUAAUAGUAAAGUAUUACCAUACUAUGAAGAAAUUUAAAAUGUAGAGAGUGACUUUCACAAGUAUUAGAAUCUACUGGGAUAUAGUUAGUUGGUUCGGAGAUUAUUAAGCAGCAACAAUUUGUGCUUGGGAGGGAGAUGAAAGCUGGUCUUGCCUUAAUUUGUUAGAGUCAUGGGCUGAGUCACAGUAAGGUCCAGGCACAGGGUCAUGUCAAGGCAUGAUCCUAACUCUGUUAUCUACAGGAAGAGAAAGGGCCAUUAUACUUUGAGACUGGGAUUCUUUCCUUUGUCGUAGCUUUAUGAAAAUAUAAUUGAGAAGACUAGCAUUUUCGUAUGGACUGCUGGCUGUAUAUGGUUUGUACGUGAGAAUUUGAAAAUUGAUAUCUUUUGAUAACAUUAAGAAAAUGACAGAUUUUAUUUAUUUAGAUAGUUUUAUAUGCAAACCUACUUAUAUACAUAUAGAUGUGUGAGCGAACACAUGUGUGUUUGUAACAGGAGGCAGGAAGAGGUGAAACAGUUAUGCCCUUUGAUAAUACCAGGUGUGAUGGGCUAUUGAAUGGUUUCCUAUUGGAAGGACUCAAGCACCCUGCAAGCAGAAAGUGACUCUCCCUGUCCAAAGGGGUGUGAAAUUUCUCCCACUGCUGAACCUCACAGGAUAGAGAAACGAUACAGCUCUCUGAAAGGGUGGAGUGGCAGGGGGUUCAGGUUAGGGAACAGGGAGCUGCAGGAAAAUGCUGAAGGUGUUUUCAGAGUAUGUUGGUGGGAAUUAGAGUUUUCCCUAGAAAUAAAUUAUUUAACGCUUGGAACCUAGUGUUUAAAGACUGAGUUCUAAGAAAGUGUGCAGGCAAAGACUAAGGGCUGUGAAGCACAAAAUGAGCAUUCCUAUGUGGAAAGCUUGGGACAGAAGACUCGGGGGCCACAGGAAACACAGAGAGACUGUUCUGUAGCCUCGUUAGUUGCACGAUUCUUCAACAAACCCGCACCAGACUCACCGCGGAACGCAUUAAAAAAAUGCUAAUUCCUCAGCCCCACUUCAGGUCUGGUGAUUUUGGAAUAUGUGGUUUUAAGCAAGCUUCCUGGAUGAUUGUUAGUCACACUGAAGGCUGAGAAUGAGGAGGAAUGGAAUAAUCAUUGGUGUAAUGCCUGUCUGCUCUCUAUGUCUUCUAUGAGAACAAGGACCGGGUCUUGUUCUGCAAUGUUUCUCCGGCACCUCAUUCAGCCCAUCGACCAUCAAAACCAUUCAAUAAAUAGUUUUUGAAUAAUUAGAUGAAUGAAUGAAUAAAAGGAACUAUAAACUGAUAUGAUAGCCCACUCCAUACCUUUUAUAAUUCUUUGUCUUUUGAUAGUAAAGGCCACAGGUUCUAGUUCAUAUUUAAGAAGGGGGUUAGACAUUUUCAACGAAAUCCAUUUGAUGUUUUAAAAAAUCCUGCUUCUAAGAGCUUUAAAGUAUUGUUAUAUAUAGGUAUCUUGAUUAGGUGGAUUCUUGCUGACAAUUACAGUACAGAUGCCGGCGCUAAGAGCGGGGAACUCCAGGUGUGUGCAAUGUUAAGAAUUCUUUGUUAAUUAAAUUUGUUUCUGUCUGCUGUCUAUUGCACACCUAGCUAGAGGGAUUUUGGGGAAACAUGUAUGAACUUACAGUUAAAAUCUGGAAGAAAGAGUUCAAAGACAGAGCACAUCAUAUUGUGGUGGUUUGAACAUCUUUCAACUCCCUCCCUGUUAUGCAACUGAAGGAUACAGUGGAGCUGCAACCUAACCCCAAACCCUUCUUCCCCAGACAGAGGAUUUUUUCAUAAAAUCCACUCAGGCCCUUCUUCUCAUGUUCUCCAUACACUUCUCACCAGAAAAAAGAAAUCAUUCAUAUCUAACAAAGGGUCUUGGAUUCUUCAGAUAGUUUCCAUUAUAAGUUUUUGGCACCGUUAUUACUCUCAGCUCAAGUUACCUUUCUGAUCCCUCUUCUUUCAUCUGCUGAAAAUGGAUUAUUUCCUUAUUAGCUCGAAACCCUUACUGUUCACUGGAAGCAGGCCUGUGUACGAACAAUGCUACCCCUGGCAUAUUCCUGAAGUUCCCCGGUUGUUCAGAAACUUGCCCUUAAAGCAAGCUUUCCUGAGAGUGGAAUGACAGUGUCUUUUCAGGAAAGGGCUGCUAUGACCAGAAAACUUUCUAGACCCUUGCCUUGAGAAAGUUGAGCACUGCCAACAAGUGCUGGAAACCAUAACAAAGUGUUUUCUGUGAAGGAGAUGUCUUAUGGGUUGGCUCCAUUUGGGGUUCAUGGGUCUAAGAGGCACAAUGAGGAGACUUGGGAGUCCUUCCUACACAGCUUCAGCCAGAGAUUUUCUGCUUUGAACUAUUUCAUCAUGGAAAUUCGACUUCUUGGUUCAUUUGGAAAAAAAAGAUCUACUUCCUAAAUAUUUUAGAAAUCACUUUAUAGACUAUCUCAAAUUUGAAAUAUUUUCUGAGGUUCUUUACCAGGGUUCAUGGAUAUUAUUCAAGGAUAUUUGAAUUUAGAUGAGAAAAUAAAUUAUGCCUUUAUGUUCACUAAUCUCUAAAAGAAAUUUAUCAUGUCUACUAAUUAUGAUGGAGAGCAAUAAUAUUAGCAAUGGAGAGUCACAGUAAUAUUAGCAAAAACCAGGACUUUGUCAUCACUAGAAAUCACAGAUAUCUUCAUAUCACAUUGCAGUCGUUGAAGAUGUCUUGAAACAUUAUUUACAUUUACCACUAUCUUGAAAUUCUGGUAAAUAUUAAUCCCCCUAAUAGAGCUUGCUUUGUGAUGCAUGAAUACAGAAGCACUAUUCUUGCUAUAGCACACUAUUUGAAAUAUUUUGAUACAUGGAUUUGGUAGCUAUCUAUUUGAUAAUGUGUAUAUAUUUGAUCACAACAUACAUAGUAACUUUAGUUGCUCAAUGCACUUUCUUCUUUUAUGUAUUUAAAAUACUACUCUGAAAAGAGGUCCAUGAUUCACCAGACUGUUAAAUGGGUCCAUAGCAUAAAGAAGUUCAGAACCCCUGAAAGCAACUCAGGGUCUGCAUUUUGUGGUUGUAGUAGCUAAUGAGUUGUGAGAAGUAAAAAGAGCCCUUGACUUGAAAUCAAGAGGUCUGUGUUUGAGUCUCAGCUUUGCCACUUAACAGCUAAAGAGCAAGUCAUGGGCUGCUUUGAGCUCCAGUUUCCUUACUGUUAUAGGGAAAUAGAAACAAUGGCCACCUUGCGGGGUAACUGGCAGGGUGAGAUCAAUGGCUUAGGAUCUCUUUGUCUCUGGUCUUCCUAACUCAAUUUUUAAACAUCGUACACAUGCAUGCAUUUUUCUUUUGAAAUAGAGUCCUGAUGAUAUUAUUCCACCCCUGCCUAUAGGAUAUAGUCCAGCACCUCAGCCCAGCACAAAGUUCUGGAACCUUCUCCAACGGUGCUCCCCACUCAACCACUUCAGCCAUAAGGAGCUUUUUAUCAUUUCCUUAUCACAUCAUCCUUUUCCUUCCCUUAAGAACCUUGUCCAUUCAGUUGCCUGUCCUUGGAAUAACUGUUCCAGCUUUUCCAUUCAGAAAAUGUACACUCAAAUUGUGCCCUUCUCUCUGCAGCUCUUCCCCUGGUUCUCUCAGCAGACUCCCUCUUCCUCAAUGCUCCCAGGGACGUACUCUGCUCCUCUAUUAUAACAUUUGAUACCUGCUUAUAUUAAUUCAUUUUUACCAUGUUUGAUUCUCUCAUUCUCAUUUAUAUUAUGAUUUUUUUCCAAGCUUGGGAUAUGAAGCUGCAUUAGGGAGAAAGCUUGCACAGCUUAAAAAAUACGUUGAUAUUAUCAUCACAUUGAGUGGAUGUUGGUCAUUGUAUUUCUUUUAUUUUGGAAUUCCAGAUACUGUGAAAGGAUUUGAGUUUUUUUUUGCGAAUCCAAAGAUGGCAUUUACAAAAGGUGGAGAAGCAGUUCCCUAUUGAGGGACAUGCAUACAAAAAGCGGAUGACAACACAUCCCAUAGAGUUCCCAGGGAAGAAUGAACCCAGAUUCUUGACCUGCAGAGGUGGUGUACUGCCUGGAGAAGUCACUGGCUGGCAACCGUGCUAUUCUGUCUGUCCACCUAACUAGGCUCCCAGAUCACCACUGCUAUGGGUAGGGGGCUGUAGGGUGGGCCUGCUCGGGCUGACAGGCUAGCUGUGCUCCCAUACCAGAGGUGGGAGAAGGAAAUCACAUCUGGUGUGCAGCUAUGUCGUGCCAGGCACUGUGCUGUGUAUUGCACACAUCUCAAACCUUGUGACAAACGUGUAAGGUAUUUUUUUACAUAUUACAAAUGAAGGAACUGGGCUCAGAAAAGCUGCAUUAUUUGCCCAAAUUGAAGCAGUAAUGCUGAAUCCAGGUUAAUCUAACUCCACAACCCAUGUUCUUUUCACUACAUUCCCAUAUCCUUGUUCCCCCUACUGUCCUCACUGGUCAAGGUGAGCUUGGUCUUCCACAAACAGGCUAGAAAAGUAUGCUUACUUAUCUUUAACUUUAUGCUUUUAAACUAAUUCUUACAAAAUCUUCUCUGGAUAAGUCAAAGACAAUGGGAAUGUGUAUUUCUAAUACAUUAAUUAUACUACAUUAUUGGUUUACACAAUGCCAUCACUUCGUCAUCUUCUUUGACACAACAUCCCCCUCCCCUCUAGUUUAUAAAUGAGGACGUUGAGGCACAAAAUGGUUAAGUGACUUGCCCAAGGGGGAGAUUUGUCCAAUCAUAAAGAUGGGCCUGAACUUUUUCUACUUUGCAUUCUGACUGAAAGGCAGGAAACAUAUGCUCAAGAGGGAGAUCUCACAAAAUUUCAUGUCAGAUUGUGCUCUUGCUAAUUUAAUCCUGUCAUUCCUGGUUAUAUCCCUUUGGAAAAACCACCACCAAUGCUUUCUCUUUUGAUAUAUUUACACUAAAAAUAUUCCCUGUACAAACCACCUCACUCUUUCACAAGGAGCUGACUUGGCCCUCUCCCCUGAAGUGGGUUGCGCAUCCACCCGGCCCACCCCCCGAACUCACUCUAGCUCCCUUCCAGUUCGAAUUUAUUCAGAACCUCCCUUUCUAGGAGGAAGCAAGGUGGGGGCAGUUAUCUUUGUGGACUUGGGUCCUCCUGGACCCUUUGUCCUUGUGGUCAUGUUUCAAACAGAGUUGAGGCUCCCCAAAGGGGAAAGAUUAUUUAAGUUUUGUAAAUGCUGCCCUCCAAAAACCACUCCACAUAAAUGUUUCAUGGCUUAGCCUCUGUGAGGCCAGAGCUGGAACAUUCAGCUGUGAGGGUGUUUAUAUUUGUGGAACUCUCUUGAACAUUUGCUGCGGGUUUUAAACAGCUGCUAUGCUGAAGCUCUGGGGAUAGGAAGAUCAUGAAUAUUCAGGUGAAGCCACCAGAAUGAACAGCCGUUAAUAGAAUAAAUGCCUAAACAGUUGUGUAAGGCUUAUUAAGACCUAUUGGGGCUGAGAUAAUAAAUUCCCACUCUGACAUGUUGCAACUACUGUCGCUUAAACACUUUGGACCACCUCUUCUGAACUGAAGGAAAAAAUGAUGUUAGUUCUCUGCGCGAACACAAAGAAACACCUGGAAGCCUUGGCAAGGGGAUGAGAUUUGGCAGAGAUCUUUCCGUGUACCGAUGCAUCCUCAGGAAAAUGAUGUGCCAUUCAUUGUUCCUGUUGUCAAGGUUAUCGCAAUCAACUCCAGGCUGGAACGGGCAUUGCUCUUGCACUGAAGAAAGUCUGUCCUGACUCCCUCAGAGUGCCUCAACGUCAACUGAGAGCCACCGUGAACCUCUGGGGCACUGAGCCUGGCCACCGGCAUCUGCACCCCAGCCCAUAUGGCCUGGGCCUCUCCCUUGAUGACCCUGCACACCACCUGUGACCUCUCUGAGCCUCAGUUUCCUUGAAGGAAAGGAGGGGCAGCAACACAAACUCUGCUGAGUUGUCGUGAGGAUCAGAAGAGCAAUAUUGGCAAAUGUGUUUCAUAAAUGAUACAGUACCAUAAGUGAAAAAGUCUCCUGCAACUGCUUUUACUGCUUACAAAUUUUAGUAUCAAUGUCAUGUAGAUUAAAAGAAAAAUGGAGCCCUUGUAUUAAAUACUGCAGAGAGCACACAGCCUUUUAGUGCCUUCUAACACUCAUUUCCAGUAAGGGGAUGACUGUAAGCCUUUCUGAAAUGAAACACUCUUCCAUAGCAUUUUAUUUGAACCUAAUUUUACUAUGUGCCUAGUGUGUACAGAGUUCCUCUAUGGGUAAUACAUGACUCACCCCUCAAGCUUUUCCAACAACAGUGAAAAGUCGUAACUAUUUGAUUUCCCCAAUAAGGAAUUAUUAGCAGUAAUAAUCUUAGAGAAUAUUAGGUUAAGCGCUGUGAUCCCAAUUCUCAGGGGAGGCCCAGGCUUGAGUACAGUAAAUAUUUUAUAAUAAUCCCCUGGCUAAACAAAACAGAUGCAGAGUCCUGGGACUCAAGGUCUGGAUUGUAGCUGCCUCAGUGAAUCAAGUCACUCGCCUCUGGCUUGGUCAUUCUAGCUUGGUUGCUACGGAUCUGAACUUCUAAAGCCUGCAAGACAGAAGGCUCUGCAAACUCCCAAAUUCAACAUAUCCCAAAUCAAACAAAGCAUCUAUUUCAUAGACGUGACACCACCAGCUUUCCAGUUUCUAAAAUUCAAGAUUUCAGUGUCACAACUGACACAACCUUCUCACUUAUUAAGGCCCAUCAGGACUGGCCUAUGUCUAGCCAGGCAGAUCACCUAGUCAGCAUUUGCCAUUUGUCAUGUCCUUCCAUUUUUGCACCCACUGUCCCAUUUCAAGGCUUCAUUAUUCUCAGGUGAACCAUGGACGUUUUGCUUGUUUUAAAAAAUCUCAUCUGGAUCUCGUUAUUCUAGCCACCUUUAGUGUAUCCUUUGUACAUCACUCUCCACUCAUGUGCCAUGCUGGGUUUCUAAAGCACAGGUAUGAGCAUCCCACUAGCCUGCUCAUAAGCUAUUCAUGACUCCCUAGUGCCUAUAGGGUAAUGUUUACAAUCCUUGGCCUGGCAUUCUAGGACCUUCAUAAUCUGAUCCCUAUCAAUCAUACCUUGUUCUUUAGCUAUACUCAACUACUUGCUGUUUCCUAGACACGCUUUGCUUUCCUUCCUCUCUUCCUUUGUUCAUGCAGUUUUAUUCACAUGUAAAAUCUCUGUCCAUCUUCAGGGAAGAUGUGAAGAAAGACACUUCCCUCAAAAAUGUCUUUUCCAUAAGAAUCCCUUAGCUGGAGCUAGAUGUCUUUUUAACCUAUAUGCCCACAGAACUUCCUGCAUCUUAUACCAGCCCUUAUUACUCACACUAUAAUAUAAAAUACAAGGGUCACAGGUAGGAGGCAGCACAAAGGAUACUUUCUUGUAAAUGUCACAUCUGAACCCUCCCUUUAAAGAACAUUAUCCCCUAUUAUUCUCUUUCAUAGAAUUUCAUCAUUUCUCUAUAAAACAUUGAACUGUGUUCAUAAUUUAUAUUUGUUCAUACACCCAUUAUUUAAUAUUCGCCUUACCUAUAGCACUGCAAACUCACUUUGGGAAUGGACCGUGCCUGUAUGUUUAUGUCUAUCACCAGGGCUCAGCAAAAGUGCUUGGCUCAUAGCAUAUGUUGAAUAAAUACUAGUUAAGUAAAUAAACAAAGUAUGAAAUGCCUGCAACUCUACCUAGAUUGACAACUUCUUGUAGAUAUCUUUGCACUUCACUGCUCCAUCUAUCCCAGUCCUUUUGCUAGUAGAUGCCCAACCAAUGGUAAUUGAAUUGGAUUUUAACAUUAAGUCUUCAUUUCUUUCUGUUGAGUGAGGAAACUAUUGUGAUCAACUUGUUGCCCUUUGGGUUUGUUCGUGAAAGAAAAGUCAUCAAAAAGUAGGCAAUAAGGUAGUCUUUGCUUGCAUUCUGGCAGACUUAUGCAUGGGAGGUUCCCAACAUGUUUCCCAACAGAAAGCCUUUUCAUGGUAAUGCAGAUCUACAAAGUGGAUGUUAGUUGCAAAAAGAUAAUCAACAAAUCUCUGACAAGAGUCUGUUUAUACUGCUGCUGUCAAGGGUAGUCAUGCUAGUUUAAGAAAGAUAUUUUGCCUUCAUUCUAAGUGUUCACACAUGAAAAUGUUGUCAGGUAUGGAUUCUGGCUGUGAAAUUAACACCUGCAGAAAUUUAUAUAUGUGUUCAUAUUGUGGAUGACCCAUAAUUUUAAUGAGGGCAGAACAUAAUUCAUGUGUGAAUAAAUUGAUCAGACAAAUUGUUCAACCAUUCAUCUAUUUGUUACUAUUUUGUGCUUUAAUCUUUCAUUCAUUCAUCUGCUCACUUGACAAGUACCAGAGUGUUAAUUGUGGGCUUAGUAGAGUGAAAGCUAUAAGCUCACACAAGAGGUACCAGUACCAGCCCUCAGUGAGAGUUUAGUGUGCAUAAAAUGAUCACAGAAGGCUUUAUGGAGAAGUCAAUACAUAAAAAAUAGCUUAUUUCCUUUAAUAAACCAAGGGAAAAAUGGGAUCUUUGUUUAGUUAUUUUAUUUUAUUUUAGAGAAGGAGUCUUACUCUGUUGCCUAGGCUAGAG